CCUGCUCAGAUUGAACGCUGGCGGCGUGCUUAACACAUGCAAGUCGAACGCGAAAGGGACUUCGGUCCUGAGUAAAGUGGCGCACGGGUGAGUAACGCGUGGAUAAUCUGCCCUUAUGAUUGGAAUAACAGUUGGAAACGGCUGCUAAUACCGGAUACGCUCAAAAUGAACUUUUUGAGGAAAGAUGGCCUCUGCUUGCAUGCUAUCGCAUAAGGAUGAGUCCGCGUCCCAUUAGCUUGUUGGCGGGGUAACGGCCCACCAAGGCAUCGAUGGGUAGCCGAUUUGAGAGGAUGAUCGGCCACACUGGAACUGAAACACGGUCCAGACUCCUACGGGAGGCAGCAGUGGGGAAUAUUGCGCAAUGGGCGAAAGCCUGACGCAGCGACGCCGCGUGAGGGAUGAAGGUUUUCGGAUCGUAAACCUCUGUCAGAAGGGAAGAAACUACGUUGUGCUAAUCAGCAGCGACUGACGGC
rnacentral:rRNA from 1 species